CCUCCCCAAAUGUGGGACCAAAUAAGACGCGAGCUCGGUGCGCCUGAAGCAAAAAUCUGAGUGGAGGUCAUCUCUAAGUCACUGUGGAAGGACGACGUUAGGGAUUUGUUCCAACAAGCCUUUGAAAGAAUUUGAUCAGUGGACUAUGGAGCUCUUAAAGUCAAAGACAACAAAGCCAGUUAAUUCCCUGCUUGAUCGGGAUUCAAAAGCUAUAAAAAUCUGUCCCGCUCUGUUGAAAGCGCCAGGACUGGUCCGCGUGCAGGAAAAGACGAGGGAGCAGGCGUCUGCGAGAACUGGCUGAGCGCGCGGACCGGGAAAUCCACCGGCAGCGGGUGCGGUCCCCACCCCGGACCCCCGCGGUCACACACUCACUCGCCUGCACGCACGCCUCCUCGUCCCAGCCUGGUGACAUCUAGACUUCAGCACCGAAGAGUCACAGAUGACAGUCGGUGACAGAGCUCCGGCGGAUGCUUCAAUCCCAUGUGUUUCCUCAAGACCGAGAUUCCAGUUGCUCUGGCUUUUUUCGUGUUUGUUAGUUUUUUUUCAUUUCUUUUUUUUUUUUUUUUUUCCCCUGGCAGGGGAGUAACGCACUGAUCUUUUUAUAGUUUCCAGUAUUUUAAAUGAACCUCAGGAAGAAUGGAUUAAUAAAACAUGUGUUGAAAAUUA